AGCAGGAUGCGUUUCAAUACUGACAAGUGCAGGGUGCUGCACUUGGGCAGUAGUAACCGGCAGCACACUUAUAAGAUGGGAAACUCCCUCCUUGAGAGCACGGAGGCAGAAAGGGAUCUUGGAGUCAUCGCUGAUUCCAAGAUGAACAUGGGCCGACAAUGCGAGGUCACGGUUGGCAGGGUUAACCGGACCCUAUCGUGCAUCCACAGGUGCAUCUCAAGUAGGGCCAAGGAGGUGAUCCUCCCCUUCUAUGUGACACUGGUGAGGCCACAGCUGGAGUACUGUGUCCAGUUCUGGGCACCCCACUUCAAGAGGGUUGUGGACAACAUUGAGAGGGUCCAGAGGAGGGCCACCUGCAUGAUCUGGGGACAGCAAGGCAGACCCUACAAUGAGAGGCUAUGGGACCUGAACCUGUUCAGCCUUCACAAGAGAAGGCUGAGGGGGGAGCUGGUGACCGUCUAUAAACUCACUAGGAGGGACCAGAAGGGUUUGGGGGAGACCUUGUUUCCCCUAGCGCCCCCUGGGAUAACAAGGAAUAAUGGCUACAAGUUGUUGGAGAAUAGGUUUAGAUUAGACAUCCGUAAGAACUACUUCACAGUUAGGGCAGCUAGGAUCUGGAACCAACUUCCAAGGGAAGUGGUGCUGGCUCCUACCCUGGGGGUCUUUAAGAAGAGGCUUGAUGCCUACUUGGCUGGGGUCAUUUGAGCCCAGUUUUCCUCCUGCCCAUGCACGGGGUCAGACUUGAAGAUCUACAAGGUCCCUCCAACCCUACUUCUAUGAUUCUAUGAUUCUAUGAAGUCUGCUGGAGUAUGGUAAUUACCGAACUUCAGCAAACUCCAGCAUCUCAUGGCAGUGGGGCACUUUAAAGCUAGUUUGAUAAACUUUUAUUAAAGUGCCCCCACCACCAUUUUUCAGCAUGGGGAUGCUGAUACACAAGAUGCUCUGGGAACUUUAAUUAGAGCGUCUCUUGGAGCCACUCUAAUUGCUAAAUGAGAUCCUCAAUGCCGCUUUAAAAGCCUUACUAGGAACCUACAUUUCUCCUGUAAAGGUGCUUAAAAUUUUGCCUCUUGGCAUGUGCCAAGCUGCUCAUUACUUUAGGACCUGAUCCAGACUGUUCCCACAGGGGUCUCCUUUUAGACAUUGCAACACCUAGAAAUAAUGUGCCUGGCUCCAGGACAGUAAACCACAAAGUUGCUAUCAGGUGCCUGCAUUCCCAUACAGUCAAUGGGGAGAGUUAGCUGCUAAAAGGACUGGGGUGCUUCUGAUGGGAAGUACCUAGAACUAUCCAGCAGUCAGGACUGGGAGUAGGAGUGGGCACAUGUGUGCAGUGAGUGCACGUGUGCCCUCAGCACACUCACCUGGGACCAGCAUCAGUAGUGGUGGCAGCAACAGCAGCUGAAAGGUAAGCAGGGUGCAGGGGUGGGUGCAGCUGCAGUGGAUCUGGAGGUAAAGCCCCCAGAUCCCAUUUAAAAAGAAGAGCAGGGAGCCACAUGUAAACAGAGUGUGCAAACAGGUGUGCCCUGUAAGGGUGCACUGGCAUUUGCGCAAGGUGGGCAAGCAGGAGAAGUCAGGUCAGAGACUUUGGCAGGGGAGAGAGGCAAACACUUCACUCUACAAUAAUGGUAAGGACAUGUUGGGCUGCCAGGGACCCAACCCUAGUGAUACUGCCUGCCCAGGGCUUCUCUGAGGCCUCCAUCCAGAUGGAGCCUGCAGGGAGGUUAAAGCUACUCUCCCCUCCUGUCUGUGAGGGCUGCCUGGUGGGGCCUCUGCAGCCUGGGUGGGGAGUGGGAGCUCCCUUGUCUAUCCUACAUCUGCCCACCUUCAGGGCAGGUGAGGGAAGUCCAGGUGGAGGUCAGCAGGCUGAGGGGAAUCAGGGCUGCCAAGGAUGAAAUUGACAGGUAUGUCUGUUGUCUGCAGGUUCAAGUACUUUGUGGAAAGGAACCCCUGGAGGAACCCAAUGCAGUGGUAUGGCAAAUGGUUACCACCAGGGCCAGGGCUACUCAUGCUGCCACAGUGUUGUUCCCCCCGUUAUAACUGGAGAACAGGUAUGAGGCCCUGGCAGCACUGGAGGAAGAGACAGGCGAGGAUGACUCCAGAGGAGCCGAUGCCACUCCAUGCAUAGUGCAGACUGAGCGAUGCCAGAGCACCCAGAAGAAGAGAUGCCGGAUCCUUGUCAUGGGUGACUCCUUCCUGAGAGGAAUGGAGGGACCCACCUGUCACCCAGACCCCAUGGAAUACAUGGAUGGUGCCAUGAGGCCUGCAUCGGAGAGGUCAACUGGCAGCUUCAGAGCUGGCGUUACUGGGUUGGCUGAUCUAGUACAAUGAGCUUUAGACUUAGUUCAUUGGAGGAUGGGGAUGCAGUGGUACAGGAGGAUACUUCAACAUCAAACCAGGUGACACAAGCAGGAACAACCCAGGUAAGUGACAAGGGCCCGGGCUAACUUGGGUACAAGAGGGCAGCAUGAACACCCAUAGGAGGUCUCAACUGCCUCUACACAAAUGCUAGAAGUAUGGGGAAUAAGCAGGAGGAACUCGCCCUCCUGCUAGCUAGCAAAAACGCAGACCUGCUUGGGCUUAUAGAAACCUAGUGGGAUUCUACCCAUGACUGGGCAGUAGACAUUGAGGGCUAUAGGUUGUAUAGAUGAGAGCGCUACACACCUCCCCUUUUCUCCCUACUCUAUGUUAAAGUGCACAUCUUCAGUGAUCAGGAUGGGUUCAGAAGAGGGGCAAACUGAGGCGCUCUGGGUUAGAAUGCAAGGGGGUCAUGGGGAAAGGGACUUGAUAGUGGGCAUCUACUACAGACCACCUCACCAGGGGGAUGAGCUGGACCUAGAAUUUUUUUCAGGUCAGCUCAUGGAAGCUCUAAGGACAAGGGAUGUGGUUGUCAUGGGUGACCUAAACUACCCAGACAUCUGCUGGGAGGAUCAGUCAGCCAAAUCUGAAUGCUUACAUAAGUUUUUAUCCUGCAUACAGGACCUCCAGCUAACCCAGGAGGUAUAUAAUCCCACCAGAGUAAAUGUCUUGCUGGACUUGGUCCUUGCCACAGGUGAUGACCUGGUGAGGGAUCUGUGGGUGCUCGACUACCUAGGUGUUAGUGACCAUUGCCUGCUGGAAUUUACUAUCUAGCUCAGGGUGGUGAAAGCAAGCAGUAAGGCAAAAGUCCUUGUCUUCAGGAGGGCUGGCUUCAGUGAGCUAAGGAGAUUACUAAAAGAGACACUGGGGACUUGGAGCUUCAAUGAGAUACAAGUCCAGACCAGUGGUUGUUCCUUAAGGAGACAAUCCUCUGAGCUCAGAGGAAGUCAGUUCCAAUGCAAACCAUAGAAGGCAAGAGUGCUAAAAAGCCACCUUGGCUCAGUAAAGGCAUCCAGGAGGGCCUGAGGGCAAAAAAGGUGGCAUACAAUCAGUAGAAGCAAGUGGCAAUCACCAAGGAGAAUUGCACCUCCAUUGCUCAUGAUUGCAGGGAGGCAGUUAGGAAGGCCAAGGCUGAGACGGAACUAGGGCUGGCGACCAGAAUGAAGUCCUUUUUUAAACACGCAGGGAGUAAGAAGGCACCAGGUAACAUGGGGCACCUACAGGACAGGCAUGGCAAUCUGGUGAUUGCAGCAAAGGAAAAAGCUGAUCUCUUCAAUGAGUUCUUUGCCUCCAUGUUUCUGAGCAGGGACCAGGACAACUCCCCCACUUGGAUUAUGGACAGGCUCAGGGAACAUGAUGCUAUGCCUUGGACCAGGUCACACAGUCCUUGGAUGCAGGCGUUGAGAGAAUCAGAGCUCCCUCUGUCAACACUGGAUUUAUGACCCAGAUACUAGGACCCAAACCCUCAGAUCGACCACGACUUCUUUUCAACAAUAGGCAGUUCUUUUGAUACACAGAGAUAGCUGAUAGGAGUAAUGCAGGCAAGGCAAAAGAAAUAACACCCCUGGUCUAUAUUUACUAGUCCUAGAGUUCAAUAGGAAAGGUACAUCUGGCCAGUACGGGAGCUUCACCCUAUGGUUCUUUCUUCAAUGUCAGAUGUCAGCAGCCUUGGAGCUUGAGGGCGGAGGCCCACUCCCCACCCUGAUGGGGUGCAAGAGACAGGCUGGUGGUGUGCCCUCUGUCCAUGGUGGGUGUUGUGUCUUAUUGUGUCAUCCUUGUACUGUCCUUUUAAGGCCAAAGCCCUCAUGUUCAGCACUGCAGAUUCAUUUUACUUUGUGGCAGUUUUGCAGUACUGGGGACUCCAUGUUCUCUGCCAUGAGGAGCCAGAGGCAUUCUUGGUUCCUCUCUCUCCACAGGACUGGACUGGGUCAAGUCAGAGACAGAGCAUGUAUAAGAUCUGUAUACAUAUAUUGAUGCAAUUGUUAAGAUCCACCCUGGAUAUGAUUCCAGAGAGUUAUAAUAAUAAAUAACUGUUAGUUCAACACAGGAGUGUCCAAAGUGUUGUUGCUGAACCCACAACAUAUCAGUGGCUUCCUGAUCCCCCCUCAGGGACUUUUUGCUGCUCUGAAAUCUCUCCUUUUGUAUUCUUUUUUUCCUCUGAUGACUCUUCAUUGCAAGGUACUGUUGACCGAUUUCCCUGUGGUUGUCAUACUGUUCUGUUCUGUUCUGUCAGCGUAUUCCUUUGUUGCAACAAACCGAACACAUGCACGCACCUUAAUUUGGUCAUUUACCGGUGUCAUUGACCUCCCUGCCCCACUCUGCUGAGGAGCCCCUGGGGGGAGGGCAGUACGGCAGGGAGCACCAAGCCCACACUGGGCAGCCUGCAUCAACCCUUGCCCCAUGCACAAAUCUGGGGGGCAUGUGCUCCCCCUAUGCCUCCCUCCCUGGGAGUGUGUGUGGCAGCAGGGAGCCAGCUCCCCUGCUGCCCCCCAAAUGAGCUGCUUGUGGCUCCCCUCCCACUCCCCGGCCAGACCCUGCAGCCUUGCAUUCCUGCCCUGGCCCUGAUUUCAUGCACUGCCCCAGCUGGGCAGCACCCUCAGCCCCAGUCCCGGCCCUGUCCUACUCCCUCCCUCCUUCACUGUGGGGGCCUAAAUCUGCUACCCCACCCCCAGGCUUAAUUGGAGGGAGCUGCAGGAGCUGCCCCCAGCCCUUUGCAGGAUGGAACUCUGCCAGCAUGCAAGGGAAAACCUGCCCGUUCCCUGCUUUUUUUUUUUUCCCCUUAAAACGGGAAAAUUCACAUUCUUCUCCCUAUAAGGGGAAAAUCCAUGUUUUCCUGCAAUUUUCUGUGUUGAAUUGAAAACCCGGAUUCCUGGUUAUAACUAUAGAAACACAAUGCAAUAAUAUCACUGCACAGGCAACAAUAGUAUCAGAGGGAAAUAUAGUGUUUUGUCUCUUUCUUUAAGAGAGUAAAAUAAGUUUCCAAGUAUACUAAAGAUUUGAUUUAUUGACCCAGCUUUGAAAUUAAUGUUUUCCAGCUGAUUUUUUUCCCCUGUAGCAAAACCCACAAUUUUUCUUUUUUUUUUCUUUUAAAAUGCAUUCCCUCCCCUUCCUCAACCAUUUCUGACUUUGUCUCUCCCUCUCUAUUCCCUAUAGAUAAGUGUAAGUGAGCUAAGAUGUAGGAUAAGCUUUAACAUUUUAUUUUAGGUAGUAAGUUUUAUUUCUCUCCCUCUGCAAAUAAGUGCCCUGCUAUUUUGAUAUAGAUAUCCACUGUUUUAUAAGUGAUAAUUAUUAUGUUUGUACUGAUUUUUUUACUUCUUUUAUAUUAUGUGAUUACUGUUUUAGGCCUAUAUAUGUAAGUUAGCAUAAGUCAUGUCAAGUUGCCAUCUUGUAAUGUCAAGCCUCCAUCUUAUCCCCAUGCCCGGUUGUGUAACCUAUGACUCAUACUACCCCUCCUAUGUAACUUGGUUCCUGAAUGAAUGGGGAUGAAUGAGGGUGCUUGAGAGACAAUGGCAGUAGGUCUAAAAAUAGCUCCUUCUGAAUGACAGAACUAACAACACCAAUACCUGGGCCAAUGACCCAGCCAUUGGAACCACCCUCAGCAUUCAAGACACAAAAGAUGAGGCAACCCACUAGUGUGCCAGGCUGCACAUGCUCAGUAAGAACACCUGGAACCCUCUGGAACAGGACUGACAUUGCCCUCCCCAUAGGAGAUCAUAGGUAGUCUGCCCCAUAAAAAGUGGUAGUGAAGACUGACUCCUUGGGAACGCCAUUUCCAUCUGGACCAGACCAGCUCCACGUCACACCACCUAUCCACCCACCUCUGGACAACACCGAGCUGAAGGAGACCCUGACUGGCCAUUGAGUACCCACUUUCAGUCUGGGAUAGGUAGAUAUCACCUGCAUAUUUCCUCCUCCAAUUUGAACUCUAUCUCUGUCCUCCUGGACUUCAGCCCCUGCAGCAAGCCUCUUUAACCCCUGCUGCCAUUGUGUGUGUGUGUGUGUGUGUGUGUGU